rnacentral:rRNA from 1 species
CUACGGGUUGCUGCAGUGGGGAAUAUUGCACAAUGGAGGAAACUCUGAUGCAGCAACGCCGCGUGGAGGAUGACACUUUUCGGAGCGUAAACUCCUUUUAUAUAGGAAGAAGAUGACGGUACUAUAUGAAUAAGCGCCGGCUAACUCCGUGCCAGCAGCCGCGGUAAUACGGAGGGCGCAAGCGUUACUCGGAAUCACUGGGCGUAAAGAGCGUGUAGGCGGAUUAAAAAGUCAGAAGUAAAAUCCUAUAGCUUAACUAUAGAACUGCUUCUGAAACUCUUAAUCUAGAAUAUGGGAGAGGUAGAUGGAAUUUCUGGUGUAGGGGUAAAAUCCGUAGAGAUCAGAAGGAAUACCGAUUGCGAAGGCGAUCUCCUGGAACAUUACUGACGCUAAGGCGUGAAAGCGUGGGGAGCAAACAGGAUUAGAUACCCGGGUAGUC